UACGAAGGGGGGCUAGCGUUGCUCGGAAUCACUGGGCUAAAGCGCACGUAGGCGGCUUUUUAAGUCAGGGGUGAAAUCCUGGAGCUCAACUCCAGAACUGCCUUUGAUACUGAGAAGCUUGAGUCCGGGAGAGGCGAGUGGAACUGCGAGUGUAGAGGUGAAAUUCGUAGAUAUUCGCAAGAACACCAGUGGCGAAGGCGGCUCACUUGGCCCGGUAUGACGCUGAGGUGCGAAAAGCGUGGGGGAGCAAAACA
rnacentral:rRNA from 1 species